UUCUUCGCAGGAUUCAGUCUGAGAGCAGCAAUUGCAGUUGGUUAAGGAGAAAAUGGAACAGCAGCCCGUGGUAAUUACUGGAGCAGAGGUUGAUGAGUAUCGCUUGUCUAGAUGACAUUGAUUCAAGUUUGGUUUUUAUGUAUACACCUGUAACAGAAGAAGGUGCCAAAGGAGAACCUCAAUAUAAAUACACAGAUUUUGUAAAAGCAGAUUUCAGAGUGCUCUUGCUAACCAGAUAUACUCUUGGAUUGGUGUUCUAAAGUUGCUCAAUUGCUGCCUCUUCAUGGACCAAUGCAAAUUCCAGGACUUGCUUGGCAACUUGUUUGUGUUUUUUCAGUAAAUUUGUAAGAAGCCCAGAAAAGAUG